UACGGAGGGUGCAAGCGUUAUCCGGAUUUAUUGGGUUUAAAGGGUCCGUAGGCGGACCUGUAAGUCAGUGGUGAAAUCUCAUAGCUUAACUAUGAAACUGCCAUUGAUACUGCAGGUCUUGAGUGAAUUAGAGGUAGCUGGAAUAAGUAGUGUAGCGGUGAAAUGCAUAGAUAUUACUUAGAACACCAAUUGCGAAGGCAGGUUACCAUGAUUCAACUGACGCUGAGGGACGAAAGCGUGGGGAGCGAACAGG
rnacentral:rRNA from 1 species